GACGAACGCUGGCGGCGUGCCUAAUACAUGCAAGUUGAGCGCUGAAGGUUGGUACUUGUACCAACUGGAUGAGCAGCGAACGGGUGAGUAACGCGUGGGGAAUCUGCCUUUGAGCGGGGGACAACAUUUGGAAACGAAUGCUAAUACCGCAUAAAAACUUUAAACACAAGUUUUAAGUUUGAAAGAUGCAAUUGCAUCACUCAAAGAUGAUCCCGCGUUGUAUUAGCUAGUUGGUGAGGUAAAGGCUCACCAAGGCGAUGAUACAUAGCCGACCCGAGAGAGUGAUCGGCCACAUUGGGACUGAGACACGGCCCAAACUCCUACGGGAGGCAGCAGUAGGGAAUCUUCGGCAAUGGACGAAAGUCUGACCGAGCAACGCCGCGUGAGUGAAGAAGGGUUUCGGAUCGUAAAACUCGGUUGGUAGAGAAGAACGUUGGUGAGAGUGGAAAGCUCAUCAAGUGACGGUAACUACCCAGAAAGGGACGGCUAACUACGUG
rnacentral:rRNA from 1 species